AUGCGUCGGCGAUCGCUUCCCGGCGGUUCAGCUAUGGGGAAUCCUGGUAAGCAUGAGAAGGAUGUCAGCAUGAAGGCGAUGGUUAAAUUUGAUGGUGCUCACAUCUCGCCCAGAAAAAGGCUCAAGAAUCAGUCCAAGGUGGCGCCGGAGGAGUUGCAGCCGAUCUGGGAGGAGUUCCAGCCGAUCUAUCUGAAUGGGAAGGUUCAGUUUGCAGACUGCCUCCACUGCCACAACCGCCUCGGCUACAAUGGGAAUAUCUUUCUGCGCCGGCAUCUGAAAACCUGCCCAGCCAAACCGGAAUCGACGUCGGCCGAAGUGACGGAGUGGAUGUCGCCACAGGAUUCCUGCCUCCCAAUUGUGACGAUCGACGACAUAAGCUCAGUAAGUCCCCUAAAAUGGAGGUCAAAAAUAUGGGAGGGUUUCACACCCAUCUUCGUUGAGGGGAAACUGCAGGGUGCAGAAUGCAUCCAUUGCCACAAGCGCCUCAGCAAACACGGAGGCCAUCUGAAUCGACAUGCUCUAGCCUGUUCAAAACGACAUGGGCAUGACCAAAGUCAUCAUAAGGGUAACUGUUCUAGUCUACCUAAAUUAAAGUCCAGGGUGCGAGACGAGUCUUCGCCUGCCAGGAAAGCUCAAAUCACAAAAUGCUCUAGCAAGCUCCGCAGGGCUAGCUGCUCCAGUGUCAUCACCUAUCAGCCCAUUCAAGUGGUGGCAGAUCAUCUAUCCCUACAAGCACCAGGUGGUACAAAAUGCUCUAGCAAGCUCCGCAGGGCUAGCAGCUCCAGUGGCAUCACCUAUCGGCCCAUUCAAGUGGUGGCAGAUCAUCUAUCCCUACCAGCACCAGAUGGUACAGGGCUGAAGAAACAGAAGACCUCGUCUAUGACUAAUGCAGCUGCGAUAAGCACCAGAAAGUUUGGUCAAGAUUCACCUUAUCAAGAUAUCGCCAGAUUGAUAACUUUGCAUGGUUAUCCUUUGUCAAUUGUAGAGAAUGAAGAUAUGAGAAGAAUUUUGAAGAACAUCAGUCCCAUGACUAACAAAGUCUCUCUUAGUGAUAUGGAAGAACAUUUACUUGCUCUGUUUCAGAAGAAGAAGAUAAACGUCAAGGAUGAAAUUGCACUUACCUCCCAGCGUAUCUCACUGUCAGCAAGCAUCUGGACUCAUGAUGGACCUGAGCCGACAGUAAAUUACCUCUGUUUGACAGCACAUUUUAUUACUGAAGACUGGAAAAUUCACAGAUUAGUAAUCAAAUUCGGCAUGUAUUCACCUACUAAUUUGGAAAGGAUAAUACACUGCAAGGAGGCUUGUGUUCCAGAGUCGGAAAGUGGAUCAUACAAUGUCAUAUGGGAUGCAAUCAGAGACUGGAAUCUUGACCAGAAGAUUUUGAGCUUGACUUCAGUUGGUGAAAUUAAGAAUGAUGCAAAUACCUUGAAGCUCAAGGAGAUGCUCAUAAAGAAGAGGUGCCUUCCCAUCAGAGGCAAGCUGUACAACAUUGCUUGUGUGGAUGAUAUGCUAAACAGUGUUGUUUCUGAUGGACGAUCAUAUAUACUUUUCCUUGUUGGUGACAUAGUAAAGGACUUUUUUGGGGCAUGUGCAUCUUCAUCAUCGAUGCAACAGCAGCUUCUGGAAGUUAUUUCACAGAUGAGUUUGAAAUGUCCGCAAGAAGAUGCCAAGUGGUGGCACAAGUUAUAUUUUAGGCUUGAAGUUGUGCUGCAAUUCAACAAGUUGUUUCCUGUUGCAGAAGUGCUGUCUCCAGAAGAUAUGACAGCUACUUGGCCUAUUUGCAAGAUUUUGAGGACAUUUUAUCGUGUUAUCGAAGUAGUUUCUAGCCCUAGCUCUCCGACAGCAAAUGUAUACUUCAGUGAGGUAUGGAAAGUGAGGACAGUUCUGCAAGAAGAAGCAUCAAACGAUCACGUAGAGAUUGUGACUCUGGUCAUGGAGAUGCAGGAAGCGUUCGAUGAGUAUUGGCAAAACUCAUACGUGUGGCUGUCAAUACCUGUCGUGUUAGAUCCAAGAUUCAAGAUGAGCUUCAUUCAAUUUCGCCUGCAACGGGCUUACAGCACAGACUCGCUGGGCUACUUAUCUGAAAUACAUGAUACGGUCCAGGAACUCUUCGAUGAAUACUACAAUGCUACAGAGCAGCUGAGUGGCGUCCGUCUUUUAAGGAGUGCAGCUCUGGAUACAGCUGAUAAUGAUCCUUUGGAAGAUUGGGAUGAGCACCUCAAUUGCCAGAUGUCUUCAGAACUUGAUGACUACCUUGGGGAGGUUCUAGUCCCAAGAAAAGACGAUUUUGACAUUCUUAAAUGGUGGAUGGAACACACCACAAAGUACCCCACACUUGCUGCUAUUGCCCGGGACGUCUUAGCGAUGCCGGCAUCUGCUGUUCAAUCUGAAGCAGCAUUCAGUAGCAGCAGGCCAGUAAUUCCAAAGCACCAGAGCACACUGAGCAUCGAGACGAUUGAAGCACUUGUGUGUAGUCGAGAUUGGAUGAGAUAA
rnacentral:rRNA from 1 species